UACAUAGUGAAUGACAUUUGCAUAUAGAAUAUGAAACUUGGAAAACCUGGAUAGGUUAUCCAGGAUGACGUUUCCAAGAGAAAUUCAGUAGAGAAUAUGUAUUAUUCACAAAUUGUGAAUAACAAGACAAUAACAGAAUUCAGUUUAUAUAGAAACUUGGACGAGAGUGAUCAUCCAAGUAAGUAUUCUCAAUAUAAAUCCUAUUGAGAAAAGUAAUGAUCACAUCAACAAAUGUGAAUAAAUGUUUAUAAAAAGGGACAUUUUACAUGUUCAAGGAUAAACGACUAAAACUAAUAAUUGUUAACUAACAAUUAAAUAAAGUUUUACCAAAUGAAAUCAUAAAUAUGGAAAUAAUUUGAGGAGUUACUUACAUGGGACGUGAUGUGGUAAUUAUAAUAAGGUCACGCGUACCAUGUGUUGAUCGCUUACUCUGGCCAAGUAAGUAGUGAACACAUGAUAGCAUGAGCUUCUUAUAAUGAGCGCAGUUAUGUCCGAUGUAGUAAGGUCAAGAUGAAUGAAAAUUUAAAGGAUCCUUAGGGUCAAGAAAUCUUAUGGGCAUACUCGUAUAAAUGGUUUUCGCGGGAACCAUAAAAACGACGUAUGGCGCACAUAGAAAUAAAUGACCCAAGGAAAUUCGUGACAUAAGUCAUUUCGGACGAAACAACCAUGGUAGACAAAAAGGGCAUUGUAAAACCAAAGUAUAAAUGACCCGCGGGGUCAUAGAAACAAAGGUAUUGCCCACAUGGGAAAAACGAUCAAAAACCAUGGUAGACAAAAAGGGCAUUGUAAAACCAAAGUAUAAAUGACCCGCGGGGUCAUAGAAACAAAGGUAUUGCCCACAUGGGAAAAACGAUCAAAGUCGUUGACUUUGGUCGUAGUAAAGAAAUGAUGAUGAUGAUGAUAAUAAUCAUCAUUCAUAGUUUAUAAGACUGUCAAGGAUGGUCGAAUAAAGAAUAAAGGUUUGGUUGAAUAAAAGCGAUGGAUUUCGCUAAGACAACCAAACAAAUUAAAACGAAAUCUUAAUGUAUACCGGAAUGCUUGCACUAAUAAUGACUUCGGUAAAGUACCCGGUUGAUGGGUAAGGAUUUAAACACAUGCGUAAACCGAGAAACGGGAACACGAAUUUAAAGUCAAAAGACUCGGAUUAUGAGUUAUGACUGAAAGACCAUAAAAUUUCGCAAACAGAAAUUUUGAUAAUUAUAUUCAACUAUUCGAAGUCGAAUGGGUUGAAUAAAGAAUAAAGUUGAUUGUUUAUAAGUGAUGGAUUUCACAUUAAUAAGUCAAACAGGUUGAAUACAAUAUAACGCCGAAUGGCACAAAUGAGCGCUAGCCAGAUAAGGGUAGCGUUAAAUGCAAGAGAAUAAUGAGCCCGGUAAUGGGAUAUAACCAAAUAAGAAUAAAUUAUGGACUGUCAAUAUCCUGGUAGGGAUAAUUGACAAAAGUUAAAGAGAAGAUCCUAAAACUAAAACUUCGGUUUUAGUAAGAAAUAAUGUUUUUACAAACAUAGACUCUGAUAGGAAUUUAAAUAAUAAGUAUGAAAGAUACAAAUCUUGACACUGAUAGGUGCAAGACAAUAUAUUCGAAAAGUGAUAUUUUCGAAGAUGAAAAGGUUGAUAUAAAUUAAACAUGAUGUGACAUGAUCACGGUCAAGAGGUACAAUGUGAAGAAGAAUCACAUUAUAACCAAGCGAGCGGUAAAAAGAAACCGGACAAAUAAGUCUAGUUAGUGAAACCGGUUAAGGUCAGUAAUUCAAGUUAAGAAAUUUGGUUUGCUUGUAAGUGGUAAAUUCGGUAUAACUGAACCGAAUAAAUAAAUUUGAAAAUAAAAAGAUUUGUUGCUAAAAGUGAAAGAUUUCACUAAAGACCUUUAAACGGGUCAAAGUAACGGGUUCAUAAAGAAAUCCGAUAGUAUAUGAAAGCAUUGAAUAUCGCUAAGUUGAUUAAACUAGUGGAAAUAACGAGAUUACGUUAUUUCAAGUCGCAUCAUGUCAUAUAAGAUACGUAGAUGAUUAAUAACCAAAAGGAUAUUACCAUACUUUUCUGGUAAUACUAACAAUCGGUUAAGAUAUGAGAAAUGCUUAAUUGAUUAUCGAGAGCAAAUGCAUGGAGUGGAACUCGAUAAAUUAAGUAAGAAAAGGUUUCGGGGACGAAACCUCUUUAAGGGGGGUAGACUUGUAACACCCCGAAAACGAGUUUGGUAAUUAAACCCCGUUAAUACUAAAGACGGGGAAAGUACCGUUAGUGGUAAAAGUAAACUGUCAAAUAUUAGGAAUUUAUUUAAUAAUCCUAAUAUUUAUUUGAAGUGAAUAAAAAGCUUUUUAGAAAUAAAGUGAUAGAAGGCCCGAGUUUACGGGACCCGAAAUAAACUUAGUCAUAAAUACUUUUCGAACCCGCAAAGUUAAUUAGGAAUAUUAAACCUAGUUAAUAAGUGGGGAAUAUUGUUAGAAAUAAGUAGGUUGUGCCCUACUUAAUUAACUAACCAAAUUAGAGGGGCCAAUAUUGUUAAAAUUGAAACUUAACUUUAAUUAAUUAAAUAAAACACACCAAACACCCCACAAGGAGGUGUCUGGUCGUACAAGAAGAACAAGGGGGCGAUCCCCACACAUCAAAACCCUAAAUCUUCACCAAACUUGCAAAUUGAAGGCUCAAUCCAAGUCAAAAUCGAAAAUCAAGCAUAGAUUAUUGAUCCCCAUUGAAAGGGGAGUCAUAAGUUUGACUCUGACAAGCUAGGUAGGAGCUUGGAAAUGAACGGGUCAAAUGGAUACAAGUUCAAGUAUGAAGCUCGCAAGGAUGCAAGGUAAGUAUAACUUACACUAGUCAUAUAUUUUAGAAUGUUCUUUUGUCGUAUUGACUACGAAUAAGACAAAUGGUAAUUUAGUCACACGUUGACAAUAAUCGUUAGUUUUAAAAGACGCUUUCCCGCGUAAGACAUAAAGAGCCGAAAGUGGUAAUAAACGGUUUAUAAAUAAAAUGAGCAUACGGUGUUAAAAGGAGCGAGUCAUGUAGAUGAGAUGAUAAUAAAUAUUAUCUCGCAAAGAUAAACGGUCAAUUCGGCCAAACGGGUCAAAAGGUGUAGACAUCACCUUUUGACAAUAUCGACUAAUGAUUCUGGUGUCGAGUUAUAUGUUUACAGGAGUAGAUAUCCAAUGGAUACUCGCAUCGCUCUUAAUUAGCAAUUAUAAAGCAAGGUAUUAAACCGGGUUAGUAAGUUGAUCCGAGCCAGGUGAAUGUCGAGGGUCCCGGAUGAAGAUCGAGCAUCGAGCAAGAACCGAACACACAUUAAAUAAAGCUUCCGCAACGUUGUUUUGUCGUUAUUCUAAACGGUGAUUUAAAUCACAUUAUGUAUAUCACUUAAAUUGUAAAAGUUUUUAAUAAACCCGCAUUAUGUACAGUAUGUGUGGUCUUAACUACACAUCUAAUUGUGGUAUUUUCAUGUAAAAUUGUAAUUUAGUAACUAGGGUGUUACAAGUUGGUAAUCAGAGCUCAUGGUUAAAGAUUAAGGUGUGUUCGGUUCGAGGCUUGAUCGCAAAUCCGGUAAGUACAUGUAUGUUAAUAGCUUAGCAUGCUAAAGUGUUGUAAACAACACAUAGGGCUAUCGUGUGAUACACGUUACCCCAAUUAAAAUGAUUAAUAUGGUUGACGAAAAUACGCGCGUUGACGCGUAUAGUAAAAAAAAAAGCCUUGUAUUAUAAUACGGACGAUUAUUGAAGUUGAAAUUACUAACUCUUGUGAAUGUUUUAAUUGAAGGACACUCGCGUCUGAAGAUGACGAGAGUUGAACAAAUUGCGGAUAUGAUGAUGGAACGGUCCGAGAUGUGACAAGAAGAGCAUACUCAUCAAGGACCUAAAUCGCGUAACGAUCGCAAAUAAGUAAUGGCAAGGAAUGCCCGUCGGGGCAAGCAUUACCAGUUUGACUCUGACAAGCUAGGUAGGAGCUUGGAAAUGAACGGGUCAAAUGGAUACAAGUUCAAGUAUGAAGCUCGCAAGGAUGCAAGGUAAGUAUAACUUACACUAGUCAUAUAUUUUAGAAUGUUCUUUUGUCGUAUUGACUACGAAUAAGACAAAUGGUAAUUUAGUCACACGUUGACAAUAAUCGUUAGUUUUAAAAGACGCUUUCCCGCGUAAGACAUAAAGAGCCGAAAGUGGUAAUAAACGGUUUAUAAAUAAAAUGAGCAUACGGUGUUAAAAGGAGCGAGUCAUGUAGAUGAGAUGAUAAUAAAUAUUAUCUCGCAAAGAUAAACGGUCAAUUCGGCCAAACGGGUCAAAAGGUGUAGACAUCACCUUUUGACAAUAUCGACUAAUGAUUCUGGUGUCGAGUUAUAUGUUUACAGGAGUAGAUAUCCAAUGGAUACUCGCAUCGCUCUUAAUUAGCAAUUAUAAAGCAAGGUAUUAAACCGGGUUAGUAAGUUGAUCCGAGCCAGGUAUGUAUAAUAGAUUAACUCAUCAUGUAGAACUUGAAGUUCUAUGAAAGUUAGGCAAAAUAAAAAAA